CGCCGCCCACGAUGGCAUCUCCUCCCUCAACAAAACACUUGAUGCGUUCUUCUUCCAUCCAGCCUAUCGAGCCUCACGAGGGAUUCCAGUGCGGGUGGGGAUCAAUCCGAGGCGAGGCUUGCCAGUGAUCCGGCGCAGGAGGGGAUCAGCCAAGGCGACGCCUGCGAGGAUGCAGUGCUCGACAGGAUCCCACCGGUAGCAGAUGUGCGAUGUUUCCUCCUCCCCGUCACCGUUGCUCCUUGGUCCUUGCCGCAGCCACUCGCGCGCGUCGCCGCCAGGUUUAGGUCAAUCUCUUCUGUAUAUGAGAGGCCGUCCGAUGUGGAGCGCCACUAGCCUCAAGGGAGAUUUGAAGGAGGCCGGGUCUUGGAGCACCGAAGACAUGUGCUUGUGUCAGCUUGAUGCCACUCCGCCACUGCAAGUUAUUGGCAUAGAUUAUUAGGAGAUGUGAAGGAAGUUUGAGUGGAUGAGUUAUAUCCUAUCCAUGAUACCUGGUGUACAACUACCCUGCAAUUAUCCAUCGCCGGCGAGUGGCGCACAUGAGUCGCCAUUAAGGCGGAUUACCAUGGUCGACUGUCACUGGAUUGACCGGCCCCCGAUUCACCUGCAUCCCGUGCCUCGGCUUGAUCGACUGGAUACCAUCAAGCGUUGGAUUCCUUCGGGUGCCUUGCCGCAGCUGAAUCUCCUUGAGCGCGUCGUCUCCCUCCCGCACUGGAUCCCCUUGGAUAUUUCAAUAUUGUUCCGUUCUUAAAUUAUGUUCCUGGAGACAAACGCAGGAAACUGAGGUACUGCUACGCUGCCUGAUCUUCCGUCUCCCCAACGGAUCUCCUCUCACAUGAUCUUGCGACGGUUGUCGUGCAGUACAAAAUAUUGCACCUGUCAGGCAGAAUUGAGAGGACUUGAAUGGGAUAAGGACCACUGCUACAUCGGCUAACAUAGCAGCAAGGAUUCACUUACUCGGUAUUAUCCAUUGCUCUAGCUGUAUAUAACCAUGCAAGUUAGGUUAUAUCGAUGAAUAUGAUUGAGAAAAAAAUCUUCAUACCUUACAACAAUGUGAUUUAUUUCUGGUUGUAUAACAUCUAUUUAUGGUAUGCACUCUCGAAUAUGCUUGCAACAGUCGAGUAGAAGGAAUACUUACUGAAGUUGCCAGCAUUUCUGUCUAUGGUAUUUGAUCGUUACGUACUACCACCAUUGUUUUUUAGAUGUAUUUUUAAUUAUUCUUCUAUUUCUCCCAUUUACAAUGCGAAGAGGUUGCAACUUUCUGUAGUCCACAAGUAAAUCGUUGAUUGAUUAUAUGUUGUUCUUUGGUUUUAGAAAAAAUAAAGCAUAAUGAUAUAAAUACUUCUCAAUAUUUGAGAUAUAAGAAUGUCAAUAUUAGAAUUGAUAGUGUGGCAUUUACCUAUCUAUGCAUAAAAAAUUAACUUGCAUUUUUACUUCAAUGUUUAUGUGGAACAAAUGGAUGUAUUUGGGACACCUCUUUGGUUAUUCCAUACUUAUCCAGAUGACUACAACAAGUAUUUGUUUCACACUGCCAUUGGUUACUACAUACUUUAUCCGGAGAACUAUAGCAAGUGUUUUUUGGCGGGACUAUAGCAAGCCUUUGUUUCAGGACAUUGCUUUGGUUACUACACAUGUUUAUCCGGAGGACAAUGGCGAGUCUUCCUUUUGCCGGACUAUAGGAAGUCUUUCUUUCAUAGCAUCCCGUCAUUGCUUUCCUUCACUCUACAACAAAAAAGAAUGGUUGUUUCGCAAAAAAAAAGAACAAGAAAGAAAGGUUUUUAUGAGGUCUUUGGCUCUUCCUACAUGAAACUUUUAUGUAACUACUUGGUCAGCAGGGGGCAGCAUCCAACAAAAACAUAGUGUUGCAGACUACAUGUGGAGUUCGUCCAGCUAAUCAGGUAAGUGUGCUACAGUACCCAUGGCUGUCAAUAUCUUCUUUUUUGUUUUAAUUGCUAAUCUGCUGAUUUUGCUUCUUAGUUGUGUUAGAUUGCCAUACAUGUGUUGUCUCUAGAGCUCCAGAAACCUGUGACGAUACAUGUUGGUUGAACGGUCAAUUCCAUUGUUAUUUCAAUCUAUUUUAUCAUUUUCAUGAGCAACGUUGUUAUUUCAAUCUAUUUUAUCAUUUCCAUGAGUUAUCUUGUCUUCAUGUAUUUACAAAAAAUAUAUAUAUAUAUCUGUCAAGAAAACUUCAAAAGAGACGGGCGCAGCAACGCGCACCAACAAUGAUCUAGUUUGCCAUAAAAACGCUCGAAGUUGCCAUGUGUUCAUGCCGCACAUGUGCCACUUAUCAGGGGCAAGAAAAAGGAAUCAUGUCAACAUAAUCAAAUGGCGGAUUAGAACUAUCUGCAACAGAUUACACCAACAUAUGUUUUGUGCAAAAACAUGAAAAGCAUGCGCUCUCUGCAAAUUCAUCCCCAAUAAUUGUUGGUGUGUGCAAUUUCCUCAGUAAGCGAGGCCUUAACUAAGAGCAUGCUUGGAUCCAAGGGACUAUUUUUAGUCUGACUAAAACUAGUCUCUUUUAGAGGCUAAAGUUCCAAUCACCCCUGACUAAAGAGA